rnacentral:rRNA from 1 species
AUACAUGCAGUCGAGCGAACAGAAGGGAGCUUGCUCCCGGAUGUUAGCGGCGGACGGGUGAGUAACACGUGGGUAACCUGCCUGUAAGACUGGGAUAACUCCGGGAAACCGGAGCUAAUACCGGAUAGUUCCUUGAACCGCAUGGUUCAAGGAUGAAAGACGGUUUCGGCUGUCACUUACAGAUGGACCCGCGGCGCAUUAGCUAGUUGGUGGGGUAAUGGCUCACCAAGGCGACGAUGCGUAGCCGACCUGAGAGGGUGAUCGGCCACACUGGGACUGAGACACGGCCCAGACUCCUACGGGAGGCAGCAGUAGGGAAUCUUCCGCAAUGGACGAAAGUCUGACGGAGCAACGCCGCGUGAGUGAUGAAGGUUUUCGGAUCGUAAAGCUCUGUUGUUAGGGAAGAACAAGUGCGAGAGUAACUGCUCGCACCUUGACGGUACCUAACCAGAAAGCCACGGCUAACUACGUGCCAGCAGCCGCGGUAAUACGUAGGUGGCAAGCGUUGUCCGGAAUUAUUGGGCGUAAAGGGCUCGCAGGCGGUUUCUUAAGUCUGAUGUGAAAGCCCCCGGCUCAACCGGGGAGGGUCAUUGGAAACUGGGAAACUUGAGUGCAGAAGAGGAGAGUGGAAUUCCACGUGUAGCGGUGAAAUGCGUAGAGAUGUGGAGGAACACCAGUGGCGAAGGCGACUCUCUGGUCUGUAACUGAC